rnacentral:misc_RNA from 1 species
GGUCACGCCCCGGGUGCGUCGCAGCCCCGGAACCAGGCGCCCGCCGGAGGGACCAACCAAACUCUUUCUGUAGUCCCCUCGCGGACGUUAUUUCUUACAGCUCUGAGCAAAAAUUCAAAAUGAAUCAAAACUUUCAACAACGGAUCUCUUGGUUCUGGCAUCGAUGAAGAACGCAGCGAAAUGCGAUAAGUAAUGUGAAUUGCAGAAUUCAGUGAAUCAUCGAAUCUUUGAACGCACAUUGCGCCCGCCAGUAUUCUGGCGGGCAUGCCUGUCCGAGCGUCAUUUCAACCCUCGAACCCCUCCGGGGGGUCGGCGUUGGGGAUCGGGAACCCCUAAGACGGGAUCCCGGCCCCGAAAUACAGUGGCGGUCUCGCCGCAGCCUCUCCUGCGCAGUAGUUUGCACAACUCGCACCG